rnacentral:lncRNA from 1 species
GUGAAAACACUCAAUUAUCUCCAUUCAUCCAUACCUUCCUUCUUUUACUCAUUUAACAAACAUUCUCAUGCCAGUACUUUGCUGAGUCCUGGGGACGCAGGAUGAAUAAAUGGAGAAGGAUCCAAUCUAGAGCUGACUGUAUUCUCUGGUUUAGCACAUAAGGGAGUGUGAGAAAGUCGUAGGUUCCAUUGUUAGAUCUGUUUAACAAGUAUUUAUUGGGCGUCCAUUAAAUGCCAGGCACUGUGGUGGGCACUGGGACUGUCUAGGUAAAUAGAGAUUGCUGCUGUUAAGGAGUGUCGAGUGGGGAAGACAUGCUAAAUCGGUAAUUUGCCUUCAAUUUACUUAAUUACGUAAGUGAACUGGUUAGGGGAGCACAGAAGAAAAGCACUUAUGCCCAUGGUAGGGGCUAGUGGGAUGAGGCAAGUUUUGACAUUUAAACAAAUUGUUGGCUAGAAGUCAGGAAAAGCAGAAAUUAAACUACAUACCAAUAUGGGGAUGGAGUACCCAGAAAGCAGAGACACCAUGAAACAGUGUGGCACAGUGGUGAACCGCAAGUUUCUGGGUAAUGCUAGCAUCUAAAGCAUAAGGUAGGGAGAGGGGGGAGUUAGACUGGAGAAGUAGCAAAGUUAAAAGGUUAAAAGUGUGUAAAAUCAACUGAUGAGACCAAAUGCUAAUAAACCACAACAAUGGUAGCUGCAUAAAGAGUUAGCAGUUUUCCUUAGACUUCUUUCCACUAAAAUCCAAAUAAAAGGAGCGUUGUUUUCCUAUCAAGAUUCUUGGAACCAGGGAAAUGAUAAAUGCUUAAAAGUAAUAUUUUGGUCUUGACCAAAAGGUAAAGGAUACCAUUCGUACCAUGCCACAGUGAAGAGCCUACUUCCUACCUCUCAUCCCCAGCAAGCCAAAUAUAGGGAUCGACUCCGAAGUCUUCACUGAUAAUGUAGACUGAAAACACGGCUAAUCCAUGGCUUGAAACGACCUACCAGCAUAUCCUUCUGCAAUCUAAAAGUUUAUUUUUUCCUGGAUUUAGGAACUCAGUCUAGGGCAAAUUGCACUCUUCAGGUGGCACUCUGGAAAGCUGACGAUUGUGGAAUUUUAGCAAGGAAUUUAGGAAUCUCCAGAAUUUAAUUUUUUUUCCCUCUUUGCUGCUACUGCAGAUGCAGGACAACUCAAGAGCUUUCUGUCUCCAGGUGGGUGGCGAUUUGACUCCUCAUCAAGCCAAUGGCCACCCCCUUGCAAUCUUUAUGCAAUGCACAGUAUCCUCUGCCUGCAACGGGGGCUUGCUCCCUUGAUGGAGAAAAUACAGAAUAACUGGACGCCAGGAAACAGGCACAGCUUUCUGGGUCAGAAGUUGGCUGGGGAAGGGCCCUGACUGCCAAGUAACUUGCAAUGAUGUCAGAGCCCAGCACAACCAGAAAACACCAACUAGCCGGCCAACAAAAGACCUAAUAACAACAGGAAAAAAAUCACAGAGCUGUGUUGCCAAAGCUGUUCUUUCCGCCCCCUACUCUUUUCUUCUAAUUGGAAGAACAGCAGGAAAGAGUCUAUAUUUUAAAAGACUCCUCAUCCUUCUCUCCCCUUCUUUCCUUGGGUUACACAGUGUUAACUAGGGAGGAAAUAGUUCUCCGGAUGAGUCCUGCAGCAGUUGCUUGGGGUGUCUUUUUUGAGUUCCUUUUCAAGGCUGUCCUUGGAAGUUUCAGAAACAACGAGGACCAGGGUAUUUUUCCUAAAUGUAAACAUGUAACUGUGUUUGGGAGAAAGCAGGAACCAUUGAGGAAAGGAAGUCCUUUCUGCGCCCCUCUCUUCUCUCUUUCACGGUAAUUAACCAUACUCAAAUGAAAAUUAAGUUUGGCGGAAAAAGCUCUCUUCUUUUUCUUUAAACAGGGGCAUCAUGGUUCAUUCUAGCCAUUUAGAGCCCUCAGUGAUCCAUAAUUCAACUGGAAAUUAAUAAAACACAGCCCGUUCUUGGAAAUGAAGUUUGAAUUAAAAUCCUCUUGUUUUGGAAUAUGUGACUUUUUUUUUCCUUUCAUUUGUGACAGUCAAUUUUAAAUGAUGUCACUUCAAGGACAUUUUCAUUUCUCCCACAACAUAUUACAUGAAACACUUGCCUGUAAAACCGGGUCAUUAGCCUGCAAAAUUAUACUGUACAGAAUGGCUUUCAUUCAAAGUAGAAAUGGGAUUUUUAGUAGGCAAUUUCUGUAUUUUAUAAAGAUAAAGCAAUGUUUGAUUGCUUUCUUCCCAGCUGUUUUG